rnacentral:rRNA from 1 species
GUAGGGGGCAAGCGUUGUCCGGAAUUAUUGGGCGUAAAGCGCGCGCAGGCGGUCAUGUAAGUCUGGUGUUUAAUCCCGGGGCUCAACCCCGGAUCGCACUGGAAACUGUGUGACUUGAGUGCAGAAGAGGAGAGUGGAAUUCCACGUGUAGCGGUGAAAUGCGUAGAGAUGUGGAGGAACACCAGUGGCGAAGGCGACUCUCUGGGCUGUAACUGACGCUGAGGCGCGAAAGCGUGGGGGGAGCAAACAGGAUUAGAUACCCUGGUAGUCCACGCCGUAAACGAUGAGUGCUAGGUGUUAGGGGUUUCGAUACCCUUGGUGCCGAAGUUAACACAUUAAGCACUCCGCCUGGGAGUACGGUCGCAAGACUG